rnacentral:lncRNA from 1 species
AUGCAGAUUUGGGUCCAAAAGAAAUAAAAAAUUCAUAUGAAUGGAUUUCUUAACCCAAAACCCAAAGAUCCAAAACCCAAAGUUUACGAAUAAAAUUCCAAAAAUCCAAAAGCCCACAAACAAAAUCCCAAAAAAAAUCUAAGGUCCACAAAUAAAGAUCCCAAAACCCAAAGAUCCAAAAUCCAAAGUCCAUAAAUAAACCCAAUCAAAUCUACCAAACCUAUGUCAUCCAAAUACCUCCAACCCAAACCGAAUUCAUGGACUUUCCAAAUGGGCCUUUUAUUAUGAAUUAAUUCUAUGAAUUAAUUUCCUGGGCUUUCCAAAGGCCCCCUCUAUUAUGAAUUAAUUCGACAAAUUAAUUUCACGGGUUUGCCAAAUAGGCCCUUUAUCACGGAUUAAUUCUAUGAAUUAAUUUUAUGAGCCCUCCUUUUCAUAGAUUAAUUUCAUGAAUUAAUGGGCCCUCCAAAUGGCUCCUUAUCAUGAAUUAAUUCAAUGAGCUCUCCAAAUGGCCCCUAUCAUGAAUUAAUUUCAUCAAUUAAUUCAAUGGACUUUACAAACGGGCUCCUAGCAUGAAUUAAUUUCAUGAAUCAGCUUCAUGAACAUCUCGAUUUCAAACGACC